UACGAAGGGGGCUAGCGUUGCUCGGAAUCACUGGGCGUAAAGGGUGCGUAGGCGGGUUUUUAAGUCAGGGGUGAAAUCCUGGAGCUCAACUCCAGAACUGCCUUUGAUACUGAAGAUCUUGAGUCCGGGAGAGGUGAGUGGAACUGCGAGUGUAGAGGUGAAAUUUGUAGAUAUUCGCAAGAACACCAGUGGCGAAGGCGGCUCACUGGCCCCGUACUGACGCUGAGGCACGAAAGCGUGGGGAGCAAACAGG
rnacentral:rRNA from 1 species